GAUGAACGCUGGCGGCGUGCCUAAUACAUGCAAGUUGAGCGAAUGGAUUAAGAGCUUGCUCUUAUGAAGUUAGCGGCGGACGGGUGAGUAACACGUGGGUAACCUGCCCAUAAGACUGGGAUAACUCCGGGAAACCGGGGCUAAUACCGGAUAACAUUUUGAACCGCAUGGUUCGAAAUUAAAAGGCGGCUUCGGCUGUCACUUAUGGAUGGACCCGCGUCGCAUUAGCUAGUUGGUGAGGUAACGGCUCACCAAGGCAACGAUGCGUAGCCGACCUGAGAGGGUGAUCGGCCACACUGGGACUGAGACACGGCCCAGACUCCUACGGGAGGCAGCAGUAGGGAAUCUUCCGCAAUGGACGAAAGUCUGACGGAGCAACGCCGCGUGAGUGAUGAAGGCUUUCGGGUCGUAAAACUCUGUUGUUAGGGAAGAACAAGUGCUAGUUGAAUAAGCUGACACCUUGACGGUACCAAACCAGAAAGCCACGGCUAACUACGUGCCAGCAGCCGCCGUAA
rnacentral:rRNA from 1 species